AAGUACACCUCUCUCUCUCAAAAAAGAAAAGAAAAAACAAGUAAGAAGACACUGCGCUCGCUCGGUUACAAGAAGAAGAAAAAAAUGCGACGGUCGGAGUCGGAGGCGGCUGGGGAAGGCGAGCGAGGAACCCUAACCCUGACCGAGCACUCCAGAAGAAGAAGAUGAAGGCGCGGGCGCGGGUCCGAGGAGAGGGACAUCGGCGGCGAUGGCAUCGGCGAUUCGGCACACGGCGAGGUGGCUGGGCGGCGUCGCGCUCCGGCAGACGCGGGCGGGGUUGCCAGCCUAUUCCCUCCGGCCUCCUCCCACCGCUGCUGAGAUUGGGAGGCAUCACGCGCUCAAGGAAAUCAAACAGAAGAAGGAAGAGCUGUUCAGUCUGAUUGCCGACACGGAACGGUGAUACAACACUCGCCUCACCAAGGAAGGUUUUCAGAACAUACGUAUGCUGCAGCAGCUAGCCGUGCAGAUCGAUCCUAGGCCUGCCGACCCCUUGUGGCGCUCGAAGCGGUUUACGAAGCGACUCAAUGAUUUUGUUGGCUUUACCGGGGCCAUCGUGUCAGGCUACUUGCUUACGGAUAAAUGGCUCAACUCGGGCAAGGAUGCGGACCCAAGAGGGGAGGAGGGCAUGGCUCUGGUGCUAGCCAGCAAUGAGUGAAUUGCUUCAUUCACUGGGACAAGGAGGCAGAAGAAGUGUAUAAGUAGUAGUAGUAGUAGUGUUCUGGAGGAGGAAGUUAUUAGUGUGCUCUUUCUGGGUAUCCUUUAGCUUAUGUUAUGUAUGAACAACUGUGAGAUCUGUUGUGACAUUUGUACAAGUUGAUGACAUGGUGCCAGCAAACUGUUCAAAACCUGCCUUUUCAUCUUGACUAUAAG